UGUAUAUAAGGAAUGUAAAAGAAGCAUUGGAUGAUUCGGAGAAAAAGCCAAUAGGCUAGAGUCUCCAUAUUAAUAAGAAAGAAAGAAGAAGCAUUGGAUACAUUUUGUCUCUUCGAAGACUUGGUGCUAGAAGGAUAAAACGACGACUGAGUGAAAAGGGAAGAGAAAAGUGAGAACUUGGACUGAAGACAACUAGUCUUAUUUGUUGUCUGCUUUUCUUUGUUUGUUCAAAACACGACACUCCACAAAAUGUUCUAGCAAUUUCCGGUAGGAUCUAACGCCAGCUCUGUCAAUGAAAAGCUGGCGGUUUUGGUGGUGGCUGCGGCCCAAGAAGAUGAAGUAUG